rnacentral:rRNA from 1 species
GAUGAACGCUAGCGGCAGGCCUAAUACAUGCAAGUCGAACGGGAUUGGGGAGCUUGCUCCUCAUGAGAGUGGCGAACGGGUGCGUAACGCGUAUGCAACCUACCUUCAUCAGGGGGAUAGCCCGGAGAAAUUCGGAUUAACACCGCAUAAAAACACAAUACGGCAUCGUACAAUGUUCAAAUAUUCAUAGGAUGAGGAUGGGCAUGCGUGUCAUUAGCUAGUUGGUAAGGUAACGGAUUACCAAGGCGACGAUGACUAGGGGAUCUGAGAGGAUGACCCCCCACACUGGUACUGAGACACGGACCAGACUCCUACGGGAGGCAGCAGUAAGGAAUAUUGGUCAAUGGAGGCAACUCUGAACCAGCCAUGCCGCGUGCAGGAAGACGGCCCUAUGGGUUGUAAACUGCUUUUAUACGGGAAUAAACCUUGAUUCGUGAAUCGAGCUGAAUGUACCGUAAGAAUAAGGAUCGGCUAACUCCGUGCCAGCAGCCGCGGUAAAAC